rnacentral:lncRNA from 1 species
CCGAGCGACCGAUGGAGAUGGCGGCUGCGGCUGAGUGACGGACGGUGGAGGCCCAGAGCCCGGGCCUGAAGGGGGGGACAAACCUGGGUGCCCGCAGGAGCCCGGCAGGGUGUCUUACAAGUAUCAAGAACUUACUAUAUGUGGUUGAAUAAACAAUCAAGGUAAAGAGCAUCAAGUAAAAACUUCUGCUUGUUGAUAAGUACUUCAGACAUUCCCCCAGUGGCUGAAGUGGCAUAUGAAUUAUGAAGUUGGAUCAUUUGGAAUGAAUGUAAGAGAAUUGCCAAGGGCUCCUCCUACUCCAGAGAGGAAACCUCAUCCAGGGCCAUGAAGCCACUUCCUCACCAUCUGUGUGCUGCUUAAGCUAAUGCUGCGGGAACCAUGGUUCCUUGGGAGGAAUCAAGCUGACUCUUGGCAUGAGAUUCCUGCCUUCCUAGGGUUGAGAGCGGCACUGCCAUGGCUUCUCUGGACGACCCAGGGGAAGUGAGGGAGGGCUUCCUCUGCCCUCUGUGCCUGAAGGAUCUGCAGUCUUUCUAUCAGCUUCACUCACAUUACGAGGAAGAACACUCAGGGGAAGACCGUGAUGUCAAAGGGCAAAUUAAAAGUAAGAGGCGAGGACCUUGCCUAUCCCCUGCUGUCGUUGAGAGCUUUAACUCACGGGAUAGUUCUCAUCAGCUUUGGUGUUGCCACAGGAAUAUGAUAAUAGUAGUAGCAAACAGAUGACUAGUGUUUGUCAUGUGCCAGGCGUUUUCAGAGUUUCCCUGUUUAUUAAUUUCAUUUAAUCCUCACAAUAACUGUGUGGCUGUAAGCCACAUUUCGAACCAGACACAGAGAGAUUAGAUAACUUGUCUGAAGCCACUCAGAGAAACAAUCUGACUUUGAGUCUAGUAAAUGUAAUUGCUGUGA